ACGAACGCUGGCGGCGUGCUUAACACAUGCAAGUCGAACGGAAAGGCCCCUUUGGGGGUACUCGAGUGGCGAACGGGUGAGUAACACGUGAGUAACCUGCCCUUGACUUCGGGAUAACUUCAGGAAACUGGGGCUAAUACCGGAUAGGAAUCCUUGCUGCAUGGUGGGGGUUGGAAAGCUUCGGCGGUUUUGGAUGGACUCACGGCUUAUCAGCUUGUUGGUGGGGUAGUGGCUUACCAAGGCUUUGACGGGUAGCCGGCCUGAGAGGGCGACCGGCCACAUUGGGACUGAGAUACGGCCCAGACUCCUACGGGAGGCAGCAGUGGGGAAUAUUGCACAAUGGGCGGAAGCCUGAUGCAGCAACGCCGCGUGCGGGAUGACGGCCUUCGGGUUGUAAACCGCUUUCAGCAGGGGCGAAGCUUGUGGUGACGGUACCUGCAGAAGAAGCACCGGCUAACUACGUG
rnacentral:rRNA from 1 species